rnacentral:rRNA from 2 species
GGUUAAGCGACUAAGCGUACACGGUGGAUGCCCUGGCAGUCAGAGGCGAUGAAGGACGUGCUAAUCUGCGAAAAGCGUCGGUAAGGUGAUAUGAACCGUUAUAACCGGCGAUGUCCGAAUGGGGAAACCCAGUGCAAUUCGUUGCACUAUCGUUAACUGAAUACAUAGGUUAACGAGGCGAACCGGGGGAACUGAAACAUCUAAGUACCCCGAGGAAAAGAAAUCAACCGAGAUUCCCCCAGUAGCGGCGAGCGAACGGGGAGCAGCCCAGAGUCUGAAUCAGCUUGUGUGUUAGUGGAACGGUCUGGAAAGUCCGACGGUACAGGGUGAUAGUCCCGUACACCAAAAUGCACAGGUUGUGAACUCGAAGAGUAGGGCGGGACACGUGGUAUCCUGUCUGAAUAUGGGGGGACCAUCCUCCAAGGCUAAAUACUCCUGACUGACCGAUAGUGAACCAGUACCGUGAGGGAAAGGCGAAAAGAACCCCGGCGAGGGGAGUGAAAAAGAACCUGAAACCGUGUACGUACAAGCAGUGGGAGCACCUUCGGGUGUGACUGCGUACCUUUUGUAUAAUGGGUCAGCGACUUAUAUUCUGUAGCAAGGUUAACCGUAUAGGGGAGCCGCAGGGAAACCGAGUCUUAACUGGGCGUUAAGUUGCAGGGUAUAGACCCGAAACCCGGUGAUCUAGCCAUGGGCAGGUUGAAGGUUGGGUAACACUAACUGGAGGACCGAACCGACUAAUGUUGAAAAAUUAGCGGAUGACUUGUGGCUGGGGGUGAAAGGCCAAUCAAACCGGGAGAUAGCUGGUUCUCCCCGAAAGCUAUUUAGGUAGCGCCUCGUGAACUCAUCUUCGGGGGUAGAGCACUGUUUCGGCUAGGGGGUCAUCCCGACUUACCAACCCGAUGCAAACUACGAAUACCGAAGAAUGUUAUCACGGGAGACACACGGCGGGUGCUAACGUCCGUCGUGAAGAGGGAAACAACCCAGACCGCCAGCUAAGGUCCCAAAGUCAUGGUUAAGUGGGAAACGAUGUGGGAAGGCACAGACAGCCAGGAUGUUGGCUUAGAAGCAGCCAUCAUUUAAAGAAAGCGUAAUAGCUCACUGGUCGAGUCGGCCUGCGCGGAAGAUGUAACGGGGCUAAACCAUGCACCGAAGCUGCGGCAGCGACACUAUGUGUUGUUGGGUAGGGGAGCGUUCUGUAAGCCUGCGAAGGUGUGCUGUGAGGCAUGCUGGAGGUAUCAGAAGUGCGAAUGCUGACAUAAGUAACGAUAAAGCGGGUGAAAAGCCCGCUCGCCGGAAGACCAAGGGUUCCUGUCCAACGUUAAUCGGGGCAGGGUGAGUCGACCCCUAAGGCGAGGCCGAAAGGCGUAGUCGAUGGGAAACAGGUUAAUAUUCCUGUACUUGGUGUUACUGCGAAGGGGGGACGGAGAAGGCUAUGUUAGCCGGGCGACGGUUGUCCCGGUUUAAGCAUGUAGGCUGGUUAUCCAGGCAAAUCCGGAUAAUCAAGGCUGAGGUGUGAUGACGAGGCACUACGGUGCUGAAGUAACAAAUGCCCUGCUUCCAGGAAAAGCCUCUAAGCAUCAGGUAACAUCAAAUCGUACCCCAAACCGACACAGGUGGUCAGGUAGAGAAUACCAAGGCGCUUGAGAGAACUCGGGUGAAGGAACUAGGCAAAAUGGUGCCGUAACUUCGGGAGAAGGCACGCUGGUGUGUAGGUGAAGUCCCUGCGGAUGGAGCUGAGACCAGUCGAAGAUACCAGCUGGCUGCAACUGUUUAUUAAAAACACAGCACUGUGCAAACACGAAAGUGGACGUAUACGGUGUGACGCCUGCCCGGUGCCGGAAGGUUAAUUGAUGGGGUUAUCCGUAAGGAGAAGCUCUUGAUCGAAGCCCCGGUAAACGGCGGCCGUAACUAUAACGGUCCUAAGGUAGCGAAAUUCCUUGUCGGGUAAGUUCCGACCUGCACGAAUGGCGUAAUGAUGGCCAGGCUGUCUCCACCCGAGACUCAGUGAAAUUGAACUCGCUGUGAAGAUGCAGUGUACCCGCGGCAAGACGGAAAGACCCCGUGAACCUUUACUAUAGCUUGACACUGAACAUUGAGCCUUGAUGUGUAGGAUAGGUGGGAGGCUUUGAAGCGUGGACGCCAGUCUGCGUGGAGCCAACCUUGAAAUACCACCCUUUAAUGUUUGAUGUUCUAACGUUGGCCCCUGACCGGGGUUGCGGACAGUGUCUGGUGGGUAGUUUGACUGGGGCGGUCUCCUCCCAAAGCGUAACGGAGGAGCACGAAGGUUAGCUAAUCCUGGUCGGACAUCAGGAGGUUAGUGCAAUGGCAUAAGCUAGCUUGACUGCGAGCGUGACGGCGCGAGCAGGUGCGAAAGCAGGUCAUAGUGAUCCGGUGGUUCUGAAUGGAAGGGCCAUCGCUCAACGGAUAAAAGGUACUCCGGGGAUAACAGGCUGAUACCGCCCAAGAGUUCAUAUCGACGGCGGUGUUUGGCACCUCGAUGUCGGCUCAUCACAUCCUGGGGCUGAAGUAGGUCCCAAGGGUAUGGCUGUUCGCCAUUUAAAGUGGUACGCGAGCUGGGUUUAGAACGUCGUGAGACAGUUCGGUCCCUAUCUGCCGUGGGCGCUGGAGAAUUGAGGGGGGCUGCUCCUAGUACGAGAGGACCGGAGUGGACGCAUCACUGGUGUUCGGGUUGUCAUGCCAAUGGCACUGCCCGGUAGCUAAAUGCGGAAGAGAUAAGUGCUGAAAGCAUCUAAGCACGAAACUUGCCCCGAGAUGAGUUCUCCCUGAGACUUUAAGUCUCCUGAAGGAACGUUAAAGACGAUGACGUUGAUAGGCCGGGUGUGUAAGCGCAGCGAUGCGUUGAGCUAACCGGUACUAAUGAACCGUGAGGCUUAACCUUAC